rfam:Mycosphaerella graminicola IPO323 chromosome 1, whole genome shotgun sequence.
GGCUAGUUAGUCUAGUAGUAUAAUUUCUAACUACAAAUUAGAAGGUUAUAAGUUUAAUUCCUAUAUUAGCCU